rnacentral:rRNA from 1 species
UAGGGAAUCUUCGGCAAUGGGGGCAACCCUGACCGAGCAACGCCGCGUGAGUGAAGAAGGUUUUCGGAUCGUAAAGCUCUGUUGUAAGUCAAGAACGAGUGUGAGAGUGGAAAGUUCACACUGUGACGGUAGCUUACCAGAAAGGGACGGCUAACUACGUGCCAGCAGCCGCGGUAAUACGUAGGUCCCGAGCNNNNNNCGGAUUUAUUGGGCGUAAAGCGAGCGCAGGCGGUUUGAUAAGUCUGAAGUUAAAGGCUGUGGCUCAACCAUAGUUCGCUUUGGAAACUGUUAAACUUGAGUGCAGGAGAGAAAAGUGGAAUUCCUAGUGUAGCGGUGAAAUGCGUAGAGAUUAGGAGGAACACCAGUGGCGAAGGCGGCUUUUUGGCCUGUAACUGACACUGAGGCGCGAAAGCGUGGGGAGCAAACAGGAUUAGAUACCCUGGUAGUCCACGCCGUAAACGAUGAGUGCUAAGUGUUGGUCUCAUAAGAGAUCAGUGCUGCAGCUAACGCAUUAAGCACUCCGCCUGGGGAGUACGACCGCAAGGUUG